GACGAACGCUGGCGGCGUGCUUAACACAUGCAAGUCGAACGGAAAGGCCCCGCUUUUGUGGGGUGCUCGAGUGGCGAACGGGUGAGUAACACGUGAGUAACCUGCCCUUGACUUUGGGAUAACUUCAGGAAACUGGGGCUAAUACCGGAUAGGAGCUCCUGCUGCAUGGUGGGGGUUGGAAAGUUUCGGCGGUUGGGGAUGGACUCGCGGCUUAUCAGCUUGUUGGUGGGGUAGUGGCUUACCAAGGCUUUGACGGGUAGCCGGCCUGAGAGGGUGACCGGCCACAUUGGGACUGAGAUACGGCCCAGACUCCUACGGGAGGCAGCAGUGGGGAAUAUUGCACAAUGGGCGGAAGCCUGAUGCAGCAACGCCGCGUGCGGGAUGACGGCCUUCGGGUUGUAAACCGCUUUCGCCUGUGACGAAGCGUGAGUGACGGUAAUGGGUAAAGAAGCACCGGCUAACUACGUA
rnacentral:rRNA from 1 species